rnacentral:misc_RNA from 1 species
UUUCCGUAGGUGAACCUGCGGAAGGAUCAUUCAUAAUAAAGUGUUUUAUGGCACUUUUUAAAAAUCCAUAUCCACCUUGUGUGCAAUGUUAGAUCUCGUCAAUCUUGGCGAGGUUUUUAUACAUCAACUCAUUCUUUAAUUAAUUUGUCUGAAAAAUAUUAUGAAUACUUAAUUCAAAAUACAACUUUCAACAACGGAUCUCUUGGCUCUC